GCUAGCGGCAGGCCUAACACAUGCAAGUCGAGGGGUAACGAUGGCUUCGGCCAGGCGACGACCGGCGCACGGGUGAGUAUCGCGUUUGUAACCUACCUCUAACUGGAGAAUAGCCCGAAGAAAUUCGGAUUAAUACUCCAUAAUACUAUGAUUUGGCAUCUUUUUAUAGUUAAAGCUCCGGCGGUUAGAGAUGGGCA
rnacentral:rRNA from 1 species